rnacentral:tRNA from 1 species
AAAGGGAGACCUAAUUCAGGUAAAAGACGAAAAAAAAGUAGUCGCUACCAAGAAUCAAUCCCAAAAGGUCGGAGCGAGGCGAAAUUGGCUUUCAAACUAGGUUCUGGGUUCAAACAAGACCUGAAUCAGGAACAAGGGCUAUUAGCUCAGGUGGUUAGAGCGCACCCCUGAUAAGGGUGAGGUCCCUGGUUCGAGUCCAGGAUGGCCCACCUGCACAGGUGGCAAAAACAAGAGAAGCGAGGAAUCAGCACCUUAUCUUACUUAUAUAGUAAGAGAGAAUGCUGGCUCUGAGUAAAGAGUCCAGAGGAGCCUUGAAAACUGCAUAGAGCUAGGUGAAAAAGCCAAAAAAGAAGACCGCAAG